UACGUAGGGGGGCAAGCGUUGUCCGGAUUUAUUGGGCGUAAAGAGCGUGUAGGCGGCUAGGUAGGUCCGUUGUGAAAACUCGAGGCUCAACCUCGAGACGUCGAUGGAAACCAUCUAGCUAGAGUCCGGAAGAGGAGAGUGGAAUUCCUGGUGUAGCGGUGAAAUGCGCAGAUAUCAGGAAGAACACCCCGUGGCGAAGGCGGCUCUCUGGUACGUGACUGACGCUGAGACGCGGAAGCGUGGGGAGCGAACAGG
rnacentral:rRNA from 1 species